rnacentral:tRNA from 1 species
GGGGAUUUAGCUUAGUGGUAGAGCGCUUGCCUAGCAAACGCAAGGCCCUGGGUUCGAUCCCCAGCUCCG